rnacentral:rRNA from 1 species
CCCUUAGAUGAUUUGGGCUGCACGCGCGCUACACUGACCCUAACAAUGAGCAACUGUCUGGCCUGAGAUGGCUGGGUGGCCUUUUCAACCCAUGUCAUGAUUGGGCUAGAUUUUUGUAAGUCUUGAUCUCUAACGAGGAAUCCCUAGUAUGCGUGAAUCAUCAAUCCAUGCAGAUUAUGUCCCUGCCCUUUGUACACACCGCCCGUCGCUCCUACUGAUUGGGUGAUCCGGUGAGCUGUUCGGCCAUAGCAAUGUUUCUUGAGCAGGGCAAUGAAUGUUUCGCAAACCUUGCCACUUAGAGGAAGGAGAAGUCGUAACA